CGAUAGCGUAUAUUAACGUUGUUGCAGUUAAAAAGCUCGUAGUUGGAUUUCUGGAGGGAGCGUCGGCCCGUAUUUACGAGUGCGUGACGUCUCUGUCCAUCCUUGCGGGAAGGCACGGCAUUGAUUUGUUGCGUCGGAUCGCAUCAUUUACUGUGAAAAAAUUAGAGUGUUCAAAGCAGGCUUUCGCUUGAAUACAUUAGCAUGGAAUAAUAAGAUAGGACUUUGGUGCUGUUUUGUUGGUUGAGCCUAAAGUAAUGAUUAAUAGGGAUAGUUGGGGGCACCUGUAUUGCGUUGUCAGAGGUGAAAUUCUUGGAUUUACGCAAGACAAACAGCUGCGAAAGCGUCUGCCAAGGAUGUUUUCAUUAA
rnacentral:rRNA from 1 species